GCACUGCUGAUGAGUCCCACACUAGGACGAAACGGCCGUCAAGUGC
rfam:Schistosoma mattheei strain Denwood, Zambia genome assembly, scaffold: SMTD_scaffold0002098